rnacentral:rRNA from 1 species
UACGUAGGGUCCAAGCGUUGUCCGGAAUUAUUGGGCGUAAAGAGCUCGUAGGUGGUGUGUCGCGUCGGAUGUGAAAGCCCGGGGCUUAACCCCGGGUCUGCAUUCGGUACGGGCAUGCUGGAGUUCGGUAGGGGAGACUGGAAUUCCUGGUGUAGCGGUGAAAUGCGCAGAUAUCAGGAGGAACACCGGUGGCGAAGGCGGGUCUCUGGGCCGAUACUGACACUGAGGAGCGAAAGCGUGGGGAGCGAACAGG